rnacentral:lncRNA from 1 species
UCAGCUAUUUCCCGCAUCCUAAACUUUGUGAUUGUAUGAUCUUGGUGCAUUAGUCUAAUCUGCUCAUCCCGGGCUUCUACCAACAGCUGGGCCUAAUUAAAUGUAGGAAAGAGUCUAAGAGCCUAAACCGGUCAAAAUACCCUAUACAACCUCGGGUACACACCCGUCACCUCAUGUACACGUCUUUCACAUAAUAAAAACAAUAAAAAUCAACCCAAGUCCUAAGGGGUAGUUCCACCACACAAAGUUAGACAAGAUACUUACCUCAAACAAGCUAAAUCAACCCGCUAGUAAGCCUUUCCCGUGAAAAUCCAACUCCGGAUGGCUCGAAUCUAGCCAAAAUAACUUAAUACUAUAAAUACAAACCAUAGAAAACGAUUCCGGAUAUUAAAGUUGCAAUCUUUAAAGAAAAUCAAAAAGUCAUCUCAAAAAGUAAACACCAGGCCCGCACUUCGAAAAUCGACCAAACUUACAAAAUUCUAACACCCAUUCAGAUACGAGUCCAAUCAUACAAAAAUUAUCCAAUUCCGACCUCAAAUCGAACUUCAAAUCCUCAAUUUAUAGUUUAGGAAAGUUUUCACAAAAUCCCUAAUUUCUCUAACAUAAAACACUAAUUAAAUGAUAAAAACAAUGAUGGAAUCAUGAAUAAUACACAAAUCUGAGUCAAAAACUCUUACCCCGUUCUAAUCCUUGAAAAUUGUCACGCCACGAACCUGGGGGGCAAGACCGGCACCCGGUACCUUACUCAAUCGAGUACCAAUAUAACCUAUCUUUUCUUAUCAUACUAUCAUAGAUAACUGAGCAACAGAGGCUGCCUUGAGAUAGGUAGAAUACAACAUGUAAUACCAACUUAUACAUAAGACAUAUGGACCUAUAAGACCAAAAUAACCACUCGUACACUGAACAUAGGCCGACAAGGCCAUACAAUCUUUUACGUACAUGACAUCUGUCUACAAGCCUCUAAUAAUACAUAAUUGUCAUAAAGGUAGGGACAGAGCCCCGCCAUACCAAACAAUACACAUCUAAAUCAUACUGACCAAACAAGCAACUCCGGAGCAAAUAGAGUGCACCAACACUUCCACUGAGCUGAUCGCCUACUUGGAGGACUCUCGACCUGUCUAUCGAGACCUUCGGGCAUUAAACGCAGCGUCCCCAGGAAAAAGGGACGUCAGUACAAAUAAUGUACCGAGUAUGUAAGGUAAUAUACUGAAAGCUGAAACUAAACCGAUAAUAUAAUAACUGAAAGUAACUGGGAGUCAAAGAUAAUCUAAUGAUAUGCUUACCUGCUGAUACUGACUCAACUCUCUCAAUAUAGAAAGUAAAAUAGUUGUUCGGCUCUAUAAGGGUCGGUAUAUAUACAACUUCUCUGCCAUAGUAGGCUCGCUCAUAGGCGCUCGGCCAUACUAGGCUUUGUAUCUUGGCGAACUNNNNNNNNNNNNNNNNNNNNNNNNNAAAUACUGUAAUACUGUAUAUAUAGGCUCUCUGCUCUCUUGACUGGAAGAAGACAAUACUUAAUUGAAUAUGAAGUCCUGAUAAGGAGAAUACUCUGAUUUAUGAAACUAGGAUAAUGUAUAUAAAUUCGGGAGUAUGAACUUCUCUUUAUGCCUCGUUAUCAAACACAUGUAAUUAUGAGAUCAUGCCAAAAUGAAGGAAGGGCUUAGCCUUAAGAUACCUGAACCGAUUCUCUUGACAAUUCCUCUAACACACGUCUUUUGCGAAAACACGUGACGGCGGAUCGAAGUAGGAAAAAAUCUGUAUGAUAUUCUUGAGAAAGAUUGUACCGUGCUCCCUUGGAAUUUGCAAACUCAUGCUGCCAUUACAUAAUAAUAUUUUCGUAUGAAUUAUUGAAGAAACUCAUGUUACUAUUGCAACCUUAUCUUUACUGAAGCUCUCUUUGAAUUGUAGAGAUUCAAAAAUGAGAUUAAGAGCUCUCUUUGGUCUUUUGGGUGUGGGCCCCACUUUAGGGAAUGAUUUGGCCACCAAACAUCCUUUAAUUUUUGCCACCUUAUUAAGUGAUUUAAGUGUCAUUAUUCAAGACCUCUUUGGCUGCCACAUUCCCAUAAUCUCACGUGACUUGCCCCCUAAUACUUAUCCAAGAUCUUACAUAAAUAAUUGUUCUCAAACUUUUAUUUAAUUUGUUAACUUCCCACUCAAAUCAAUUAUUAAUCAAAUAUCCACAUAAUUAAGAAUUAUCUCAAAUUACUUAAAAUACUAUUCACUUUUAACACACUGUAUACACCUUACUAUUAUGGUCAUGUGGUACCUUGUAUGGCACUAGUUCAUAAAUACCAGGUAUUUUAGCUCGGGCCGUAUUUUAUCCCGAAAUGUCAAACUUCGACGAAAAUUCAUUUUCUUCGAUUUGCUUACCUUCUCACCUUCACGAAUUUACUUAUCCCUUGUUUGAAAUAGCGUAAUACUUAUAAUCCCAAAAUAAUCUCAUUCCCGAGCUUACGUCGAUUAACUUACGAUGAAACUUCAACAUACGAAAAUGCAAGAUGUAACAUCUCAUUUCCGAGCUUCCAUUAAUUUACUUAUGGCGUACUUUCACGUACGAAAAUAUGGGGUGUAACAUCACUCCCCCCUUUGGAACAUUCGUCCUCGAAUGUUGACUGGUCCACUUAUCAUUAUCAUAACCUAUAGCUCUUAUGAAUACUUUAGUACUCCUCUUACCAUCUAGGCAACUGUGCUGUGAAUGAAUCCCAAAGGCCAGGGCAUUCCCCCCUUUUGGCCUCUUUCUCACACCACGACUCAUGAUCGGAAUCCUCCCAAUCUUGUAACUGUUGCUACCUUAUAUCAUGCAGCCUGUACGACUCUGACUUUGUAAGUGCGCCUAUGCGAUUUUUCUCUCCUUCUUUUUCCUCAAGCUUUUAGCCAAUAUUUAGGCUUCACUUUGUGUUCAUAUAUAAAAUUAUGUCAAGAUGUCCCUCUGGGCGUCAUUAGCUUUACUUCAUCUAAGUAGGCCAUACUAUACCAUAAUUCUUACUUCGAUUUAUCGUUACCGAGGUCUGCUACCAAACUCCAGGUUACUCUCGUUGCUUAUCCUAUAUGCAUAAAGCUAAGUCUUUUAAUGCUUCUUCAUUACUGUUCAUCUUAAGACUGAUGGCCUAAUCUCACCUCGUACUUUGCAGCUUUUACCCAUCCAUUGUUGAUUUACCUCAAUAUUGAUCUAUAAUCUUUCAUUGAUAACUUGAAACUUCUUACGUAAUAUAUUGCCACUAGGUCUUACGCUGCAUCGUGGAACUUUUGAAGUGAUUUUCCUGAUCCACCUGGGGGCGAUACUAUACUUUUAUAACCAUAUUUCAUAGCAUCCCAAUGUGAUUUUCAUCACGUGUGUAUUUUAAUCCUCUACAAUUCAUGAAAUUAUUACUCAAUCGAAGGCCCAAAUGCCAUCUUUCAUUUAUCACAAUUACACCCUCAUUCUACUACCAGGGCAGCAUUCCAUCUCUUCUAAAUGCUACUAGUCUUAGACUCCUUUGAGUUCACUCAGUCUAUACUGAGCUUUCUAUAACUUAGAGAAAGCAUUAGCUCUCUUGUUUUCAUGGGCUUAAUCCUGAGGACUUAUUCAUUCUCGUCACCUUUUCACUCGCCCUUUCUUAUCCUUACUUAUGCUUUCCUAAAAAAUUGUCGCUUUUCCAUACUUUAGCUUACGGCCUACACAUCUCUAUUUAUACUACUCACAACCUUCCUUUAACUUACUUGCACCAUAGAUUUCCUCGUGUUAUUCGGGAACAUCAAGCGAGACAUCACAUCGUCUCUAACUCUUCUUUACUCUUUUAAUUAGACCUUUUGAUACAUAGAAACCAUAGGCCGAAAAAUAUUCCACUGACGAUGUCGUUAUCAUUCCUGGAUACUGAGUCUCAGUACUUCUGGCCUUCUAUCUGAAGUGUGGACUAUUCACAACCUUCUGCAUUUGAGUAUCUUGUAUGUUGUUCACCUUUACCUUACUUACAUUAAAAUCUCUCCUUACAUCUUCUAUUUCUUUUAUGAUCUCCUUUCCACAUAGUAUAAUUCACAUCCAUGACUUGAAGCUCUAUUAUAAUACUUGCACCUCUAGUGCAUACACAAUCCGGUGGGAGCUUCAUACUUACUUCUUAUGAGGCUGGUACUCUUCUAACUGGCUUUCUCGUAGAGCCGUUAUGGAAUACGGUUGUUGUACUAUCUCUCUUGUACCCUUGAUAUUAAGGGUGAUUCUGUAAUGUUUUCAAUCACGAUUUCUAUAUUUUUUUGGAUCCAAUAAUGAGACUCCUGAUUUACUUGGUUGAUGUAACUCUUUAGUUUCCUCUUCCUUCUGAUCAACCUUUAUAUAGGCUUAAUCUAUCUUCCGAUUUAUGGCUCCUGAUAUUAAUUAUUACUUUAGCCUUUCAUGGGCGCUAUGGAAUAUCCAUGAUAUAAUCUUCUGACAAUUCAAUCCUUUGUCUAUGCCCUAGGCUCAAUUCCUUCUUUUAACUUAUACCGGAGUCUUCUACGGCUGUAUGAAUGUCAACAUAUAUGCUGCAUGGAUAUCACUCUGAAGUCUUAAGUGCAUAAUCUCUUUUGUUCCUUUUGAGCUUCCUUUAAACGUAAACUGUUACUUUUUCUGGUCUUUCUGCCCCUUUGUUGCGUGUAUACUUAGCUUAUAUUAUUUCUCACACAUGCCGGAAUUUUUGUGCAACUUACAUGGUCUCAAAUAUAACUUCUGAUUUUACUCCCCGUACAUUAACCACAGUAGGUGCCACUUUCUUAUGAAGUGCAUACAAUAUUGUUGUGAGACUGUUGUUACACGACCAUUUCCUCUUUAGGUCACUAUGCUUAGGUUGAGACUUUUUCCUUAUUUCCUCUGCUAGUCUUUUAUUGUAGUACUCCCUCUGACUCUUGUAAAGCUGCGAGCUUAUUACAUCGCAUUCCUGAUAGAAUUUUUGAUGUUAUUUCUUACUUGUAAUUAUCCUUACUUACCUUCAUGCCCUUGUGCUCGUAGGGUUGCUUCUGAGAUGAUAUUUUGAUUGUCUUCCCAGUCGCACUCUCUUUUAUCUCCGUAACCCUCAUACGGUAUCGUUACUACCCCAACUUCUAUCUUAAUAUUUCUCAAGGAUUACGAUGUCAUAACUGCGAGGUUGAAUUCACUAUAUUGGGUUUACUAUGUUUAUCUUGCAUGAUAUGUUGAUUUGUCUGUAUCCUCUUAUCUAGCCAUAGCUAGGCUCUUCCUAAAUCAACUACUAACUACUCGUUGGCCCAUUCUCAUAUCUAUAUUCCGCGUAAUCCCUCUUAGGUUAUUUUCUUUGUCUUAACUUACCUCUUGCACUAGCUCCUUAUGUCUCAAGUGUUUAUUCACACUUAUUUAUCAAUAACAUCCUAGGGGAAACCCUUACUGCCUCUCCUCGGUGUUGUAGUUGCAUUAUGUUCUGGAGUCGUAGCAUAUCUGUAGGAUUUGGAUAGGUGCAAUCUCAUUCCUUUCUCAUUUUUAUCGCUUUCUUCCUUUACCAUUCCAUAGUUACUAGAAACACUUACUUCCGACUUAAUGCCACAUUACUCCAUUCCCCCCCUUUAGGGGAGUACUAAGAUUUAGUGCUACGAUGAUCUACGUAUAGAUGUUUUGCCUCUUCAUUUUUGGCGUCUUUUCACAUAAUCGAUGACCCUUACUCACCUUGCGGUAAUCCUUUUAUACCGAGGAUAACAAAUUUCCUUACUCGCGAGGGUGACACUUAGUAUAACUGGCACAUACAGUCCCUUAAGCUUAACUUUUCUCACAUUGCUUGCUUUAAGGAAGCGUCUUCCUGAAAGACCAUUCUCUGAAUUUCUCAUGAUUCUUCUUCUGUUGUCCAUUCUAUUAUCGCCGGAGUGAAAUCUGAAAUUCUCAUGAUAUCAUCCAUUAUCACCUCACUCAGUCCCUAAUUCAUAUUUAGUUUAUCUUGUUCACCAGCCCAUACUGAUUUCUGUUAUUCUGGGGUCUAACUUUUCCUUCUAGUAGUAGCGUUGGAGUCAGGGACUUAUUUCUCAAAAUGAGAAUAUGACUUUAUGGUCUAUACUCUUUUGUUGUUUCCUGGCCUGACACCUCUCAUCUUUUCCUUCCCUUGACUAUAGACUAUGUAAUACUGUCAUUUCAUUUUUCUUUUCUACCGUUGUCAUCCAUGUAUCACAUCUUACUUAUAAUGCUUCAUUAACUCUCUUCUUAUUUUCUGCUACAUUUAUGUCUAUCACUUUAUUCUGAAAACUCAAACAAGAUAUUCUUUUGCUUUUGUCUCCCCUUGCUCCAUCCACUGGAUCUUCGGGUUGCCUAACAUUCUUUCUCUACUAGGGACGGGAGCCAUACUAAGGUAAUAUUUAUCCAUUCAAGAAUUUCAGUACCUAUCUUUGUAGUACUCAUAUCUAGCUCUACUAUUUUUGAGUGCACCAUCUGGGUGUCUCACAAGGAGAUCUAUUAGCAUAUCUACAAUAUCCUUCGGAAAUGUCAACUAACGCAAACAAUCCAUCCAUAAUUUUGGGUUACUCUAACCCCAGUCGGAUCCUGAUAUUCCGUCCUUCUCUUAAACCAUAUUUGUUAGCUCCCAUAGGGCAUAACUUAGAUCGGUGUGGCCAAUUGUAUAUACCUCUGUUACUGUUGAAGGUAACUCAUAAUGCUUAUAUCUCUCUUCCUGAAUGGUAAAUAAUGAUAAUCUUCACUAACUGGGUACCUCGUACCCUUCUUCAUUUUGCUUCUUUUACUUGUUGAAAUUUGUAUCUAUCUUCUGAAUCUCUCAUUGCCUUUCACCAUAGGGGUGGAUAAAUAUUCUUGCCUUAAGGCUCCUUAUCAAGAGGCUUACACGUCUUAGUACACACAUAAUAUGCUGAAAACCUUACAUUUAUCCAUCAUAAGCAUCAUGCAAAAUCGAGUUCCUUUGACUCAACUCUUUCACAUCCACAUACAAUCUCUUACCAACCGUCUUUCUAGAUGUAGGCAUCAUCGUAUUAUGAAUAAGAUAGAGUUUAGGAAAUUGAGUUCCUACAACUGAGCUCUACCACACGAUCUAGAGUAAGAAAAAAGAGUGACAGUCCUAAAUGCCAUGUAGCCUCCUGCUUAUAAGUGUGGUGCAUAACACACCCAUAAACAAGACUCUACUAGACACGACUUGUAGACUCCCUAGGACAGAACUGCUCUGAUACCACUUCUGUCACGCCCCGAACCUGGGGGCGAGACCGGCACCCGGUACCUUACUCAACUGAGUACCAACAUAAUGUAUCUUUUCGUAUCAUACUAUCAUUGAUAACUGAGCCGGAGAGGCUACUUUGAGAUAGGUAGAAUACAACAUGUAAUACCAAUUUAUACAUAAGACAUAUAGGCCUAUAAGACCAAAAUAAUCACUCGUACACUGAACAUUGGCCGACAAGGCCACACAAUCUUUUACGUACAUGACAUCUGUCUACAAGCCUCUAAUAAUACAUAAUUGUCAUAAAGGUAGAUACAGAGCCCCGCUAUACCAAACAAUAUAUAUUUAAAUCAUACUGACCAAGCAAGCAACUCCGGAGCAAAUGGAGUGCACCAACAUCUUCCGCUGAGCUGAUCUCCUAAUUGGAGGACUCUCUACCUGUCUAUCGAGACCUGCGGGCAUGAAAUACAGCGUCCCCAGGCAAAAAGGGAUGUCAAUACAAAUAAUAUACCGAGUAUGUAAGGCAAUAUACUGAAAGCUGAAACUGAACUGAUAAUAUAAUAAUUGAAUGUAACUGGGAGUCAAAGAUUAUAUGAUGAUAUGCUUACCUGCUGAUACUGACUCAACUCUCUCAAUACAGUAAGUAAAAUAGUUGUCCGGCCCUAUAAGGCUCGGUAUAUAUAUAACUGCUCUGCCAUAGUAGGCUCGCUUAUAGGCGCUCGGCCAUACUAGGCUCUGUAUCUCGGCCAACUGGGCUCGCUCAUAGGCGCUCAGCCACAGUAGGCUCAGUAUAUAACUUACCAUCUGAUCAGAGGUUGCCCAAUAGGGGCCUGUCCAUCGAUUAUAGCUCGUUGGUAAUGAAAAUACUGUAAUACUGUAUAUAUAAGCUCUCUGCUCUCUUGACUGGAAGAAGACAAUACUCAGUUGAAUAUGAAGUCCCCUGAUAAGGAGAAUAUUCUAAAUUAUGGAAACUAGGGGAUAAUGGUAAUAUAAANNNNNNNNNNNNNNNNNNNNNNNNNCUUACCAUCUGAUCAGAGGUUGCCCAAUAGGGGCCUGUCCAUCGAUUAUAGCUCGUUAGGUAAUGAAAAUACUGUAAUACUGUAUAUAUAAGCUCUCUGCUCUCUUGACUGGAAGAAGACAAUACUCAGUUGAAUAUGAAGUCCUGAUAAGGAGAAUAUUCUAAAUUAUGAAACUAGGAUAAUGUAUAUAAAUUCGGGAGUAUGAACUUCUCUUUAUGCCUCGUUAUCAAACACAUGUAAUUAUGAGAUCAUGCCAAAAUGAAGGAAGGGCUUAGCCUUAAGAUACCUGAACCGAUUCUCUUGACAAUUCCUCUAACACACGUCUUUUUUGAAAAUACGUGACGACAGAUCGAAGUAGGGAAAUAUCUGUAUGAUAUUCUUGAGAAAGAUUGUACUAUGCUCCCUUAAAAUUUGCAAACUCACGAUGCCAUUACAUAAUAACAUCUUUGUAUGAAUUAUUGAAGUAAAUCACGUUACUAUUGCAACCUUAUCUUUUCUGAAGCUCUCUUUGAAUUGUAGAGAUUCAAAAAUGAGAUUAAGAUCUCUCUUUGGUCUUUUGGGUGUGGGCCCCACUUUAGGGAAUGAUUUGGCCACCAAACAACCUUCAAUUUUUGCCACCUUAUUAAGUGAUUUAAGAGUCAUUAUUCAAGACCUCUUUGGCUGCCACAUUCCCAUAAUCUCACGUGACUUUCCCCCUAAUACUUAUCCAAUAUCUUACAUAAAUAAUUAUCCUCAAACUUUUAAUUAAUUUGUUAACUUUUCACUCAAAUCAAUAAUUAACCAAAUAUCCACAUAAUUAAGAAUUAUCUCAAAUUACUUAAAAUACUACUCACUUUUAACACACCGUGUAUACCUUACUAUUAUGGUCAUGUGGUACCUUGUAUGACACUAGUCCAUAAAUACCGGGUAUUUUACCUUGGGCCGUAUUUAUUCCCGAAAUGUCGAACUUCGACGAAAAUCCAUUUUCUUCGAUUUACUUACCCUUUCACCUUCACGAAUUUACUUAUCCCUUAUUUGAAAUAGCGUAAUACUUAUAAUCCCAAAAUAAUCUCAUUACUGAGCUUACGUCGAUUAACUUACGACGAAACUUCAACAUACAAAAAUGCGGGAUGUAACAUCUCAUUUCCAAGCUUCCAUCAAUUUACUUAUGGCGUACUUUCAUGUACGAAAACAUGGGGUGUAACAAAAAUCCCCUCCAAAAUCUCCCAAAACCGAGCUCUCAAACUCAAAAUAUGGAAAAGGAAAUAAAACCCUUGAUCUCCACUAUUUCUUCCCAGGCUUUUCGCACCUGUGAAUUAUUUGGUCGCUUCUGCGAUUCCGCAUCUACGAAAACUAUAUUGUAGAUGCGGCCUCAACUAAGGCUUAGGAAAUAUUUCUUAUGCGAAAAAAGGGCGCACCUGCGCUUUCGCUUUUGCGGACCCCAACUCGCUUCUGCACAUCCGCUUCUGCAAAAUAACACUGCACUUGCGAUCCAUCAAUACUCACCAGCAAUCCGCUUCUGCGGACAACAACCGCAUCUGCGGUCAUGCAUGUGCACGCAUCUAUCCGCACCUGCAGACCCAGUCCACUAAGUCCAAACUCGCAUCUGCAGCUCAUAGGCCAUUUUUGCGGUAGCGCACCUGCAGCCAUGCCAUCGCAGGUGUGAUUGCACAAGACUCCAGCGCUCUUCAGGCAUUCCUUUAAAGUGCUAAAAGGUCCAAACUCAACCUGAAUCAUACCCGGGGGCCCCAGAACCCCGCCAUAACAUACCAUCAAGUCACAAAAUACGUAACGAACCUACUCGAGGCCUAAAAUCACAUUAAACAAUAUCAAACCUAUGAAUCACACCCCAUUUUAAGCCUAUUGAAUAAAUGGAUGUUCAACUUGAAAAAUAAAUGUUGAUUCAUACCAAACCAAUUCCGAAUGAGCUCAAAUUUUGCAUGCAAGUCUCAAAUGACACAACGGACCUAUACCAACUUCCGAAAUCACAAUCCAAGACCGAUAUCAAUAAAGUAAACUCUCGGCCAAACCUACCAACCUUCCAAGCCUUCAACUUUUUAACUUUUGCCAAAACGCCUCAAGACAACCUACGAACCUCCAAAUUAAUAUCUGGACAUACGCAUAAGUUUACAAUCACCAUACAAAACUAUUUGAACCAUCAAAUUUCCAUUCCAGAGUUAUUUACACAAAAGUCAAACUCCAGUAAACUCUUUCAAGUUAUGCUUCCAACUUUGGGACUAAGUGUCCCAAUUCACUCCGAAACUCACUCGAAACCAAACCAAACACCACAUCAAGUCAAUUGAACUUAGAGGAGGCAAUAGAUAGGAGAACGUGGCUAAAAAUACUCAAAACGACUGGCCGGAUCAUUACAGAAGGUUGCCUACGUACCUCACAUCCGAUGAGGAUCAAACCCGCGUAGUUCAGUAUGAUUUCAAAAUAGAGGGGAAAUGGCAUGUUGAAAAUUUUGGCUCAUUUUGUAACAACCUCCUAAACAUUUGGCUGAGUUUUAGAAUUUUCUUUUUUUUUUCUUUCAAAUACCAGGAUUUUCAGGAAUCGGGUAAAUUUCUCUCUCCUAUAUUCUCUCUCUCUCUCUCUCCCUCCUUGAUUUUUGUUCCCUAUUCUAGGAGGCGGUCAACAUGCAAACCAGAUCAAAUAAAUGCACAAGUGGCAUGUAAGAAUGCAUAAGGUUAGUAUUUUAUUUUUGAGUACACCUCUCCUAGAUGGACCCAACCCAUGUGUUGAGUCCCCUAUUUCAAAUGCACGUGAUGCAAACAUGCGUACCUACUAGGGAUACAGAAUGAGGCUUUAUUCUUCUAGGUUUAAACCUAGUAAGGUUUGGAGUUUUAGACCUGGCUUACCCGAGAGGACAACUCAAGCCGGAGGGGGGGAGGGGGGGGGGGGUAGUGUAUUGAGAAUAUAGAAGCUUCACCGGCUUUACAAAGAGUAUGAUCCUCAUUCUAAAAUUAGGGGUAUGACACUUUAACAGAAAUGAUAUACGCGUACAUGCGCUCCCAGAAGAUUUAGAGGACUCAGAAUGUCACGACCCAAAAUCCACGAUAGGUCGUGAUGGCACCUAACGCCGCUGUUAAGCAAGCCAACGGUGAUUGAUCAAUUUAAUUACUCAUUUUAUUACCUUUGAAAUCAUAAAUUUUAAUAAGGAAGGAAAUUUACACUUUUAAAUCCACGGGAACGUACAAAAUUUGUAGUUUAUGAGAGAAAUAAAAGGCGAUGAUAAUAUACAGGACCGUAAGCAUCAACUAGUAUAUCCUAAAAUCCGGUGUCAUAAGUGCAUGGGCAUUCACUAAGGAGUACAAUAAUAAUACAAUAUCUUUCUAGAAUGUAAAUGAGACAUGGUAAAAAAAAUAGUACGAUGGAGACUCUGUGGACUGCGAUACGUGGCAUGGAAUGCAGCUCACAUAUAGUCUCCUAAACAGCUGCGCUUACGCGCCACAAUGAUCACAAAAUGAACCUAUCAGAUCCUGCACAUUUAGUGUAGAAGUGCAGCAUGAGUACGUAAAUCAACGCGUACCCAGUAAAUAUCUAGCCUAACCCCGUAGAAGUAGUGACGAGGGGUCGACAUCAACACUUACUAGUGGUCCAAUAGAUCAAUAUGGUAAAUCGUAAACAGAUAAGAAGCACAACAAUAGUAGUGAGGUAAAUCUGUAACUAACACAAUCUUCCAAAAUUUCUUUUAACGAUAUCAAUUUCUCAAUCUCGUAUUUUAUCUCAACAGAUCGAAAAUAUCAAGUGCCAAUAUCAAAAGGAUAAGUAAAUACCAUAUAAAGUGUCGGGCAUCAGUGGAAGGAUAAUCUCGUGAACAAUCUUACUGCUAGCGAUAUAACGCACGAUUAUGCCGAGGUCGUACGACCCGAUACCAUCGUUAUGUGUACACUACCGAGGGUCGAGCAGCACGAUCCAUAGAUGCAUCUACUAUAAUACCGAGGUUAACGAACCACUCCCAUAAGAGUAAGAUACAUGAUCCUGCCAAGGCGUUCGGUCCGCUCCACAAGAAAGGAAAGAACCUUUUGAAUUACGAGGCACGUGCUUACGAUACAGUAUAUGAAUACUAUGUGAGUAUAACCAUUGCCGAUUCUCAAAUAACUUGCCAAUACCUCAAGGUGAUAACCUCGGCCUAAUGUAUAUGUAAUUUCUAAAUCAAGUUCAAUUAUAAUUUCAAUUAAUUAAGCCAGCAGAAUGAGUUCAAAUAAUUCAAAUAUUACAUGGUAAAGUCCUAAGUAUACUCGAACAUAAACAUGCUUUAGCCACGUACGGACUCUCGUAACCUCGUGCGUACGUCGCACCCACAAAAAGUAGCACAUAAUAAUUACAUCACCUAGGGGAUAGUUUUUCCCUCACAAGGUUAGACAAGAGACUUACAUUGCUCCGAAGUUCCAUAACUGACUCCAACGCCUCUCUAACACCUCAACUCCAAGCCAAACGAUCCGAAACUACUCAAACAAUAUGCAAUUCAAUCAAAAUAUACUCAAAUGCAUAUAAUAAACAAUUCCCAACUCCGCUAGAAAAGUCAAUAAAGUCAACCAUCAGGCCCACGUACCUAGAUUUCGAAAUUGUUUGAAGAUAAAUAUUACCCAUAACACCACGAACUCAAAUAUAUAAUUUAUUCCUAAUUCCAUGUCCAAUUUCGUAUUAUGUUUUGGGACUGGUUGGUGUGUUUUGGGACUGGUGUUGUGCAUCGCGAUCACGAAGAAGAAAUUUGGGGCUGCUCGUUUGUGCUACAUGAUCGCGACUUGGGAACCGCGAUCGCAGAGAAGGGAAUGAUUGACCAGGGAUUUUGCCUUACGCGAACGCGGCUUUUGGUUCGAGAAGAAGGGUGUCGUAACACUUUUUAUGUUCAGCUCACAAAAUAUCACGGUAAAGAGCGAUAUUUAGCACAUUAGGCUCACACAUAUAAAAUCAGACAAUAAACAAGAAAGCCAAGUAUAGAGUCAUCUAAGCUCGAAUUCUGAACCCUGAACCAGAAGUUCUGGGUUCAUGUCCCCAGCAGAGUCACCAAAAUUGUCACACCUCCUUUUUUUCGAAAGGAGUUUUUCCACUUUAAGUGAUAUUAUUGAAAAGGGAUUAUUUAAUUUAAUUUUAAGAGUCGUCACUUGAAAUUAUUUAUUACGGUGUUCCAAGCCACCAAUUAUUUUAUAUUCCAUAUCAAGGUAAGUUUGACUCUGUUUAAGUUUGCGAAACACAGAAGACCGUGUAAUGAAUUAUAUUAAUCCGAGAGAAGGUGUGAGGCACUCCUGGAUUUUGUGAUAUUAACAAGGUCGCUUUAUUUAUUUCAACACGUUUGAGAUUGCUUGUGGAGUCCAAGAAUUAUAGAAUUUCAUUCGUGAAUUCGCGAACUUUGAAACACUAAGGGCCUCCUUCAUAACAAAUACGAGAAAAGUUGAGAAAAUAGAUUUGGUAGAUUAACAACUUAUCUGUAUUAAUAAAUGAAUCCUCAUUAGUUAAUUAGUAGUGGCUUGUAGUUAAACUAUAUCUCUUCUUUUCAAUUAUUUAAUUCUACAUGGAUUGUUAUUGUGAAGGUAACAUUAUGGGCUAAAUUUAUUGAGUACCCAGAUUGGACAUCCAAUAAGUCACUUGUGAGUACAAAUGGGCUUCGGAUUAAAGCCCAAGGCAUCCUUUGAGCCUUUUGAGAACUAGGCCAUGAUGUAGACCUCUAAAUGGACAUGGUACUGAAAUUAGCUAGGAGUUCAGAGUCCACAUGACUCCAAUCUGAUUCUGCCACUUUGCUACGCCAGUUACUCUGGCCAAUGGCCUCUGGGAACGAAAGCCUAGUGAUUUACAACUCACAAUUUCAUACACCAUUGCAAAAAAUGAAAUAUGUAUGAACUAAUCUAAGCAUGAGUACAUGUUCAUCCGGAUUUAAAAUUACAACACCAAUUCACUACAUCAGAAAUCAUGACUUGAAUUUAUAAUAACAAACACUUUUAUGAACUAACAUCCUACAUUUCUGGAAUUAAACAAUGUCAUAACAAAUAAGGUUUCAGAUAAUUAAUUCAUAUCUCCUAAUGCCUUUGACUCGUACAAGUUUAGACUCUUCAUUCAACCUUCAAACUCAUGUGCUGAAAAACUUCAGUGGCUACCAAACUCAAACCCGAUCUCUAACAAAUUUACUAAGUGUUCACAAUCACCAAUAACAUGAAGAUAUUAGUUCUCAAAUUGCUAAAAUGUAUCAUACUAAGCUAAACAGAUAUCAAUCUGUUACAAUUAGCGGCAAAUUUCCAUUUUUACUCAAACACAAAAAUAUUAUCACAAAACAGACUAGAUUUGACUAUGUAAAACAUCUUAUCUAAAAACAUAAAUCGUGCGAAGAGCAAUAAUGGAUCUGGACACACAUAGAUCUAUGAAGAACCAACAUGAUUUCAAUUUAUUUGAUUUCAAUUUGAGGAAUUACAAACUACUUAAGCGUCAGCAACAUGAUUCAAGGAAUGCAUUUCAAUUUCAAUACCAAAACAUGCCAUAUCAUCAUAAAACUAAAUACAUUCAGAGAUCUAUAAGAAGCAGUAGGUAAAUAACCUUCAAAACUGAAAUACGAGAGAGAUUUAGGACCAAAUAAAGGUCAUAAAAUUAUAAGAGGGAGCUCAGCUACGAAACCACAUAAUCAACAGCGAAUCAAUAACAAUUAAUAAAGUAUUUAAGAUGGAAUAACUCAUUUGGAACCCAGCAAGUAAGGAAUAAUCGAUCAUAGGUGAAAACACUCUUCAAAUCCUUUUGAAAUCCUAAGUUUUCUUUUAUUUUUGGAGUCUUUGAUCUUAGAUCUCUUUUUUGAAUUUUUUAACUUUCGAAAUUUUUGGUUUUCAGUUGUUUUUGAAUACCGCUGAAUUUUCAGAGUGAAAUGGGUGUGCGCGCGAAUUUUUCAGACUGUGAAUACAUGCCCAAAUUGUGAGGAGGAAUGCCUUAUUUAUAGAUUAUUAGUUAGGUCUCUUUUGAACUUUUUCUUUUUGUUUUACCCCUCUUAUUUCAAGUUUUUACUCCGACAGUCCCUAAUAGCACACCCUUCUACAUCUUCUUUGCAAAUUAAUCAUUUUCCACACCUUCCUAGAAGUUUCCUAAAAGAUUCUCUAAGGGUGAAAUUCCUUAAUUAUCCUUCAAGUAUUUACCAAUUUUCAGAAAUUAGCUAUCUUUUAACACAAUUACUAGUCUUAUUUUACUACAUAUUUCACUAAAUUUCUGGCAGUGAGCCUUGGGCCAAAAGAAUAAUAGGCCAUGUCGACCUGGGCUCAAAGCCCACUGGUCUUCUAUAUUUUUGAUAAGUCUGUUAAUGAUCUAGCCUAAUUUCUUUUAAAUUUGAACCAAACUAACUAAGACAGUAUUUAAACACUAACAAAAUAUAUGAAAAAUUAACAACAAAAAUCGAAAAUAAGCUAACUCAUAAACUAAUUAGCUAACACAUAAUCGAACUAACAGAAGAAUACUCUUAACUUCUAAUGCUAUUUGAUCAAUAAUUAAAACAUGCGAUUAUUCACCUAUGAAUCAAAACAAAUGACAACACAUAAAAAAGAAAAACGUAGAAGAAUAGGAGGGAAGGGUAUACCUAAUGGAUCAAACGGGCUGUCAAGAGGAAAUUCCGACGAGCCAGAGGAUUGCUACACAAGCUCCAACCGAAAUUUGUCACGCUGGCCAAUGCUAUAUGUAGAAAUAGGUCCUGCAUGCUGGAGGUGAAGAACGAAGAAGCUUUGAGAGGACUGGACGGUCAACUAGAAUUUGACCGGGACCCGAUGGCCAUGAAAUGAGACGAAACCACCACCAAUCGCCAGUACUCAUCAAGAGAUGUCGAUUGGUGUGAAUUUUAACCUCAGACGGGGUAAGAAUUGAAGAGGAAUCAAGAAAGGGGCAGUUUCAAUUUUUCUUAAAUUCUCAGAUCCACUAAUCAUGGAGUUUGGGUGGAUUUUUGAGGAAAUGGUUGACAGAUUAGGGAUGAGGAGGAGUGAGAAGUAUCUGGUGAAAAUUUUGGGCCACCACCGUGAGGCAAUUUUUGGCGGCGGUCAGACGAUGGUCCACGGUGGUAUGAAGGCGGAGGGGGGACAACGGGCGACGAAAGCAAUUUUCGGCCGCCCAAGAGAGAUGAGAGAGAACGGGGAUUAGGGGUGGUUUAUAAAUAUUAAAUUUUUAUCAAUCGUUUUUAUUAAAAAGGGAAAAACAAUGAAAU